rnacentral:rRNA from 1 species
GAUGAACGCUGGCGGCGUGCCUAAUACAUGCAAGUAGAACGCUGAAGGAAGGAGCUUGCUCUUUCCGGAUGAGUUGCGAACGGGUGAGUAACGCGUAGGUAACCUGCCUGGUAGCGGGGGAUAACUAUUGGAAACGAUAGCUAAUACCGCAUAACAGUAGAUGUUGCAUGAUAUCUACUUAAAAGGUGCAAUUGCACCACUACCAGAUGGACCUCCGUUUUUUUGGCUAGUUGGUGAGGAAAGGGCUCACCAAGGCGACGAUACAUAGCCGACCUGAGGGGGGGGUCGGCCACCCUGGGACGCGAACACCGCCCAGGCGCCUGCGGGACGGCGCAGUAGGGGACCGUCGGCAAUGGGCGGAAGUCUGACCGAACGAGGCCGCGUGAGUGGAGAAAGGUUUCGGAUCGUAAAGCUCGGUUGUAAGAGAAGAACCAGUGUGAGAGUGGAAAGUGCACGCUGUGACGGUAUCUUACCAGAAAGGACCGGCUAACUACGUG